rnacentral:rRNA from 1 species
UGGGGAAUUUUGGACAAUGGGCGCAAGCCUGAUCCAGCCAUGCCGCGUGAGUGAAGAAGGCCUUCGGGUUGUAAAGCUCUUUCGGCCGGGACGAAAUCGCACCCUUUAAUACCGGGUGUGGAUGACGGUACCGGAAGAAGAAGGACCGGCUAACUACGUGCCAGCAGCCGCGGUAAUACGUAGGGUCCAAGCGUUAAUCGGAAUUACUGGGCGUAAAGCGUGCGCAGGCGGUCUCGCUAGUCCGAUGUGAAAUCCCCGGGCUUAACCUGGGAACUGCGUUGGAAACUAUGAGGCUCGAGUGCGGCAGAGGGGGGUGGAAUUCCACGUGUAGCAGUGAAAUGCGUAGAGAUGUGGAGGAACACCGAUGGCGAAGGCAGCCCCCUGGGUUAGCACUGACGCUCAUGCACAAAAGCGUGGGGAGCAAACAG